AACGUAGGAGGCAAGCGUUAUCCGGAUUUACUGGGCGUAAAGCGCAUGCAGGUGGCUCUGCAAGUCUGGUGUGAAAGCCCCUGGCUUAACUGGGGGAGUGCGCUGGAAACUGCGGGGCUGGAGGUCGGAAGAGGAAAGCGGAAUUCCCGGUGUAGUGGUGGAAUGCGUAGAUAUCGGGAGGAACACCAGUGGCGAAGGCGGCUUUCUGGUCCGGACCUGACACUAAGAUGCGAAAGCGUGGGGAGCGAACGGG
rnacentral:rRNA from 1 species